AUCAGUACAAUUACUUUUCUUGGCAGAUGGAAAGCACGGUUUUGGCAACUAUACAUAUUUCAACCUUUAACCAACCCCACGCCUUACACACAUCUUUGUCUACCAAAAUCCCUGCACUUCAGCAGUCAGCACCUCUGGCAUCUUACCAAAUUCAAUAUUAUAUGUUUUUCAAACUUGCCAAUGUAUUUCCCAUCCAUUUGCCUUUUUUGGUUUCUCUGUGUUUACCUUUAGAGAAAAACAUUAACAAAGGUAAGCAAGAAGACUCUUUACCAUUGGCUUCAUCAAAGAUAGAUGGGAGCCUACUCUCUGUUUCUGCUUUGUUUUGUUCUGUUUACAUUCUUUUUUAUUUCUCUGCAGCAUUCCUGAGCAAUAGGGAGCACCAGGAGUAUUCUACCUGCACCUUAUUCUGUUUUUCUACUACAAAGAAGAAUCCUCCUUAAGACAGAAUCCUCCUUAAUGCAAUGUGGCUAUAAGUAGAUCGUUCCAUCCAGGGACUCUAUGCCCCAGCACUCCUGUUUCUACAGGCAGAAAAUUAGUCUUCCUUUGUUUGGCAUGUGGGGAGCCUGAGGGUGCCCCUUGAGCCAUAGGCACUGUUUAUGUAGCAAUUCAGCAGCAAGAGCAAUGACUUUUCUAAUAGCAGAAAGAUUAGGCUCUGGGGGUAUGCAUCUCUGUCUGCAUAAAGUGCACAUUGUGGAGAAAAUUCUUCUUUCCCAGUCUACAUUUUGAACAUCUUCCACAAUGAGGUUUUCCCCUGCACAUGUUUAAGACAUUCAUUGCUGAGAGAAAAUGAUGGCGCUAGAGAGGAAGGCGUUUCAAGUGGAGUUGCAGCCUUAAGCAGAAUGAUCUGUUAUUUUUUAUUUUUAUUUUAUUUUUUGCUUAUUUAUCCAUUCAUUAUUACUAAUUUCAGCCAACAGAAGGAAACUGGGUUGGGUUCUGGGGAAGGAAGGACUUGCAUGAGUGCCCUGGGGCUGCAGAGAUCUGAGUCGACUGUUUAUAUAAACAUUAACUUUUUUUUUUUUUAAGACACGAAGUCCUAACCUUAAAUUGCCAGUUGGUCUGCAAUACAGAGACAGCCCGGAGAAUUAACACCCAGUCCUGGAACAAGGCCUGAGGAUGAAAGUAAUGACAACGUGGGAUUCUAAAUAUACCCGAGCAGCUCACAGGUUCUUUGAUUGUGCUGGAGGCUGUGUGAAAUCUGCAGGCAACAGCAUGCCUGCUUGCAGUUUUGCUUCAGGUGAGAAGCUGUUUAGUGCCUUAAGACAAAGUCAGAGACAUGAAGUCCCAAAGGCUAAUUCACUGGAGGAAAUGCUGGCAGUGUUUGCCUGAAACACACCCCUUAGCAGGCAAUGUCCCUGCUGGAAAACAGUGAGCGUGGUUCAAUGGUGGAUCUCCAUUACAAUGAAUUAGGCACCCACAAA
rnacentral:lncRNA from 1 species